rnacentral:ncRNA from 2 species
GGAGCAGCUUCUGGAGAGUCCGCUACUGGCGGCGCCGAAGGAUUCACAAUCUCAGGCAAAAGGACAGAAGAGUAACU